UACAGAGGUGGCAAGCGUUGUUCGGAAUUACUGGGCGUAAAGGGCGCGUAGGCGGUCCGAUAAGUCCCGUGUGAAAUCCCUCGGCUCAACUGAGGAACCGCACGGGAAACUGCCGGGCUUGAGUUCGGGAGAGGGAAGCGGAAUUCCGGGUGUAGCGGUGAAAUGCGUAGAUAUUGGGAGGAACACCAGUGGCGAAGGCGGCUCACUGGACCGGUACUGACGCUGAUGCGCGAAAGCGUGGGGAGCAAACGGG
rnacentral:rRNA from 1 species